AACUGGCAAAGAGAAAUGGACCUGGUGGGACUGCACCUCCUCUCACAGCCUCUGAAGGAAGAGGAAGUACUGCCUAUGUUGGCCUUGCAAGACCCUGCUUGCCCUAUGGAGUAAGAGGAAUUACCCAUCUGAGUAGAGGAUUUGUCAUUGUCAAAAGGCUGUGAGGCUUUAAAUCACCCAGACCAUUAAGAAUGCUACCUACACUACCUACCCUUACAUGUGGCUUUGGUUGGCAAGCACAUCUGAGCAACUGUACUGUAUGAAACCAACAACAAUUUGUCCUGAUUCAUGGUUUAGGAGGAACAGCUGAUUAAUCCCAUGUCAACAGUCUUGACCCUAUGCAGAAAAUACAAACACAGAAGAUCUGCUUAACAAUAUAUCAAAGUGUCAAGCAACCAGCGUGUCACCAUCAUGUUUUUCUGUAUGUCAUCCGGACACAAAAAGGACUGUAUGCAUUUGUUCAUUGGUUUAGGCUCAUCUGCCCCUGAACUGAGAGACCUGUACAGCACAGCAAUCCCAUAAAGCAAAAACACCUUGAUUCUUUCCAUAAAAUGCUUAACUGUCACGGCUCAGUGCUGUAAGUGCUGACUCAUGUGAGUAGGCUUUACUCUUCCGAGAAGACUUAUUAGCUUCAGUCCGACCAUUUAUCCUAACGAGAGCUUUCAGAUUUGGGUCCUUCCAGAAAGGUGGUCAAAGAUUAUCUUUUCAGGGUGUAAGAUUUAUACAGGAUAUCCUUUUCAGUCCUUAACAUUCAAAAGGUUUCCAGUCAUCCCACAAACGUGCAUACUAAAAAAAACCAAUUCCUCCACUUAUGCUUCUGUUAAAGUAUGAACAUACAAUACCUGGUUUAUAUUAGUCUAUCUAAAAUUGCUGGGUAAACUGGGUGAAAUAAAAUAUAUAUAACAGUCUUUUAAAAUGUGAUCAAGGCAAGAGAGAACAGAGCAUUUCCAUUUUUAGUAGUGAAGAACAGUGACUCUUCCAAGGCAGUUUGGAAAUACUAAUGAAAUUUUAAGGUCUUCUUUUCUAUAUGGUACCUCCAGAAAA